rnacentral:lncRNA from 1 species
AUGGGUCCUUCGUCCUAUCUGCAGGUACGAGAAUGUGUGGCGAGUCUUCGUCGCGAAAGAGUCGAAAUCCCCCGCAAGGCUCUCUUCAGCAAAGGCCUUUUUUCAUGCUUCAGACCCCACAAAACCGACGCUGUCUGUCGCGAGAUCUGCAAACGCAAGUCGGCACAUGCAGAUGCCUGUAAGCCUGUGUUAUGCACAUGCGACUCUUGUGUACACGGCGGUUUCAAGCAUGUAGCAGAGAACUCUCUCUUCUCUGGGUAUGGAGGCGGACGCACAUGCGAAGACGCUUUAUUUGUGUGCACACUUGCAUGGGGAUUCAAGUGCUCGUCACGGCGAGCCUCUCACCUUUUUUUGUGUUGCAUCGUGAUUCGCGUCGAUACGCAGGACGGCAAUCUACACACUGCCAGUUUAAUUUCAGAUGCGGACUGCAGGAAAGCCGAAAAGACGCUUCGUUUCCAAUCCACGAGUGGAAAACGACUUUCUCCCCAUGCAGAGGCCGCCUUCCCCGAAAGGGUUUCGACUCGCCACCCAUGCCUCUCGCAGUGCACACACACCGCAGGCAGGCCGUCCUCUCCGCUGCAUGUAAACAGGUUGGCCUCUACUACAUCUUUAUUUGAAUGCGAUUGUCACAAUCUCACCUGCGUAGACACACUAGCGAACCGGAGGGAAGCGAUCAAAAGUCGACGCAACUCACUAGCGUCGACGCACUCGUGAUUAUUAUGCGAGGAAUCAUUGAAGACACACGUAAUAUUUGUCUGUUAAUUGUGGGCGCAGCUUUUUGCGGGUGUGGAGACCUGCACAUGCAGGUGAGUUAGCGAAACCUGUUUCCUCAGCUUUCUUUCUGGGAGAGUAGGAAAGACUUUCUUCCGCGGACAUCCACGAACCUCUGUGCCCUCUGUAGACUCCUCCUCAUACCCGACGCGCAUCGCGGGGGUGUGGGGGGGGAGGGGAGGGAAGAGGAAGCGUGCGAGUGAGGCGACUCUAACUUUUUGCCUCCCAGAAAACAGUUUUUAAAUGCAGUGAAAACUUGAGAAGAGUCUUCCAGUGCGUUGGACGUCUGCAGAGAGACUUCCGACUGUCGCGCCAUGCUCAGACGACGCGGAGGUGAACAUACUCCCGCACACCAGACACUCAAAGCUUGACACGCACCAAGAAGAAAACGCCACACAGUCCA